rnacentral:rRNA from 1 species
AGCGAACGCUGGCGGCAGGCCUAACACAUGCAAGUCGAACGAACUCUUCGGAGUUAGUGGCGGACGGGUGAGUAACACGUGGGAACGUGCCUUUUGGUUCGGAAUAACUCAGGGAAACUUGUGCUAAUACCGAAUGUGCCCUUCGGGGGAAAGAUUUAUCGCCAUUAGAGCGGCCCGCGUCUGAUUAGCUAGUUGGUGAGGUAACGGCUCACCAAGGCGACGAUCAGUAGCUGGUCUGAGAGGAUGACCAGCCACACUGGGACUGAGACACGGCGCAGACUCCUACGGGAGGCAGCAGUGGGGAAUCUUGCGCAAUGGGCGAAAGCCUGACGCAGCCAUGCCGCGUGAAUGAUGAAGGUCUUAGGAUUGUAAAAUUCUUUCACCGGGGACGAUAAUGACGGUACCCGGAGAAGAAGCCCCGGCUAACUUCGUG